GGGAGAGAGAGAGACAAUCAGCCAGAGGGAGAGAGAGGGGAGGGAGAGAGACAGUCAGCCAGAGGGAGAGAGAGGGGAGGGAGAGAGAGAGAGAGCUUUCCUGCACCUUUCUCUGAGAGGACCCUCUGCAGCGUGUUGGAGAGGUGGAGCUUCUUCUCCCGGACCCCCGCGCUCAGGUACUCCCGGUCCAGCAGGUCCAGGAACAGCCGGAGCUCACAAAGCAGGUCCUCCAUGGCUGUGGAGGAACACACACACACACACACACACACACACACACACACACACACACACACACACACACACACACACACACACACACACACACACACACACACACACACACACACACACAGGUUUCAAUAACUGUCCAUUGUCUUUACAUUAACAUGAGGUCAUUUGGCAAAGCGCUGAGGUCCAGAGUGACAUGUAAGCAAUGUUGGAGCAGCUGCAGAAACCGUUCACUAUCAGGUCCCUUGGCAAACCCUUUGUUUUAAAGCCAACGCAGGUGAAUUCAUCCUCCAGGAAACAACCAAAAAUCCCUCAGCUCUUGCAGGAUUUCGGAAAAACAAGUCUCUACGAAAAACAACCGUUGCAGAGUGGAACGUAGCAACAGGAACCACAACAGGACGUUUCUUGUUCUGCUGUGAAUGAUGGUGUCAUUCUGAUAACAAAUCUCAUCUUUCACCAAUGGCAUGAAAAUCACCCGAAACAACACCAGCAGCAGCACUCCUCCACCACAUAGAGGCCCCGUACCGGGCUGGCCACUUGGGGAGGCGUCGCCCGUCACCUGCCACCUUCAGCCCCAGAGUUAAAGCGCUGUGCGGAGGAACAUACGCACACCAGACAUCACAGCAGCUGCCUCUUCUGAACAUCAGAACAUUUAAUCCCGGCCAAACGUCAAGAGGAGCCAAGUAGGAAAGGGGGCGGGACUCCCCUCCAAAGGCAUCAUUCAUCUCCCAUUGCACCACAACGGGCUAAACCACAAGCAGAGAAAGACAGAUGUUUUGCCGACUGAUAACGAAGAGCAUCCCCUUCCACUUCUCCGGCCGGAGCCAACGCUAUAACAAGAGUGCAUUCCUGAACACACCCCCUACCCCAGACCCCUAGGAACAAAUGAUGCAAGCCUCCAAGACUCCCAAACUCCGUCUCCCAGAGCACACUGUGAUUUAUUUCUAAAGUGUUGCAGGUUCCAAGCAUAUUGCGAUGCUCCCUUCUCUGAGCGAGAUAAACAGUACCUUUCACACAUUCCAGACAUAAUCUGAUUAACUGGCCAGAUAGACUGUGUGUGUGUGUGUGUGUGUGUGUGUGUGUGUGUGUGUGUGUGUGUGUGUGUGUGUGUGUGUGUGUGUGU
ensembl:lncRNA